rnacentral:rRNA from 1 species
GAUGAACGCUGGCGGCGUGCCAAAUACAUGCAAGUCGAGCGAACGGACGAGAAGCUUGCUUCUCUGAUGUUAGCGGCGGACGGGUGAGUAACACGUGGAUAACCUACCUAUAAGACUGGGAUAACUUCGGGAAACCGGAGCUAAUACCGGAUGAUAUUUUGAACCGCAUGGUUCAAAAGUGAAAGACGGUCUUGCUGUCACUUAUAGAUGGAUCCGCGCUGCAUUAGCUAGUUGGUAAGGUAACGGCUUACCAAGGCAACGAUGCAUAGCCGACCUGAGAGGGUGAUCGGCCACACUGGAACUGAGACACGGUCCAGACUCCUACGGGAGGCAGCAGUAGGGAAUCUUCCGCAAUGGGCGAAAGCCUGACGGAGCAACGCCGCGUGAGUGAUGAAGGUCUUCGGAUCGUAAAACUCUGUUAUUAGGGAAGAACAUAUGUGUAAGUAACUGUGCACAUCUUGACGGUACCUAAUCAGAAAGCCACGGCUAACUACGUG